GAGCCAUGAGUCACAGCAGCUGGCUCAAGGCUGGGAGGGGAAGUAAAACACUAAAUCUAAGGACCACUCUAUUCACCCUACAGUGACUGCUCUUUUUCCCUCCUGCCACAGUCCAGGGUAGGAGAUACUUCUCCAGGCUCUCACUUAUGGGGGCUUUCCUGCUGGCUACAUCACUGAAAUGGAAUCUCCUAGUGGCCCUUCUCCCUCUACAGCUCUGGUGUUACACUGAAAAACUAGAAGUUUCAAAACAGACAAGGGAAAAAGAGAAACAUCAGAAAGUCUGAUUAAAGUAGAAGCAUCAUAUUUCUAUCAACGUAUCCACUGUGCUUGGACUCUGUAAUAUUCACCGGCAGGAAAACCCAAGGGAAUGACUACUAUGACAUCUGAUGGCAUUAUAGUAUACAUAGCCUUGGAAUCAGAAGACCAAGAACAUACAAGAGAACAUAGCCUUGGAAUCAGAAGACCAAGAAACAAUUUAACUCUGCCCCUCUAGAGCUCUGAGAACUUGGGCAAGCCUUUUACCCUCUUGAAUUUUUGCCACCUUCAAUGAGAAAGACUGAAACAAAAAACUCAGAAGAAAGAAAGAGACUGAGAUAGCAAAUAUGACAAACUGUUAAAAAUUCAUGAAUCUGUUAUGGAAUACUAUGCAGCCAUAAAAAAGGAUGAGUUCCUGUCCUUUGCAAGGACGUGUAUGAAGCUGGAAACCAUCAUUCUGAGCAAACUAAAACAGGAACAGAAAACCAAACACCACAUGUUCUCACUCAUAAGUGGGAGUUGAACAAUGAGAACACAUGGACACGGCGGGGUGGUGGGAACAUCACACACCGGGGCCUGUCAGAGGGGAGGGGGCUAGGGGAGAGAUAGCAUUAGGAGAAAUACCUAAUGUAGAUGAUGGGUUGAUGGGUGCAGCAAACCACCAUGGCAUGUGUAUACCUAUGUAACAAACCUGCAUGUUCUGCACAUGUAUCCCAGAACUUAAAGUAUAAUAAUAAAAAGAGAGAUUAAAAAAAUUGGUGAAUCUGGGCAAAAUGUACACAGGAUUUUUCUGUACUGUUCUUGCAACUUUUCUACAGAUUUGAAAUGUUACAAAAUAAAAGGUAUUUUUAGAAAAAGAG
rnacentral:lncRNA from 1 species